rnacentral:lncRNA from 1 species
ACAGGCUCUGCUGUGAACUUAGCUUUUGUCUUUUGUUUUUCAUUUCUGUGGCACUAAUGUGUUCUUGUUUGCAGAAGCAGGUAGCUGAACUGUGAUCUUCACUGCCAUAAAGGUAAGAGUGUGCUUUAAAGUAAGCGAUUCUUACAUCAGUCAGUUGAAGGGUAGGAGAAAAAAAAACACUAGGCUAUGAAUGCUUCAAAGUAAUUGUGUAGCCUGUGAGAAAACUCAGAGAUGGUUUCAUGUUUUCGUAGUUUAUGUACGGGGGGGAGAAGGAGGGGAGGAAGAAUAUUGCUGCUGGAUGGACCAACGGGCAAAGCGUUGAUUUGUACUGAGAGUCAACUACUGCUUGCGGACAGUAACCUUACGGACUCCCUGCGACCAAAUUCCAUGGUGCACCUAUGAGAGCGCCUGCAGGCACAAAGCCGAGUCCCUGACAGGAAAACAAUUUACAAUUUCCACGGGAUGACAUGCUCUAGAAGGAAGUGCAGAUUAAGAAGAAAAAGCAUUCUAGUCAGUUUGGCAAGGUAAGACUCAAAUAUUUUCUUUUUGGGUCUUGACAAUGGCAGGAGACUAACCAACUCUGAAGAAGAAAAAAAGCAAACCUUUUCAUCCUUGCUUGGGACAGACCUUGUGCUGAGCAUGAACGUGCAGCCUCAGACCUUGCU